AUGAACGCUAGCUACAGGCUUAACACAUGCAAGUCGAGGGGCAGCAUUUUAGUUUGCUUGCAAACUAAAGAUGGCGACCGGCGCACGGGUGAGUAACACGUAUCCAACCUGCCGAUAACUCGGGGAUAGCCUUUCGAAAGAAAGAUUAAUAUCCGAUAGUAUAUUAAAACCGCAUGGUUUUACUAUUAAAGAAUUUCGGUUAUCGAUGGGGAUGCGUUCCAUUAGUUUGUUGGCGGGGUAACGGCCCACCAAGACUACGAUGGAUAGGGGUUCUGAGAGGAAGGUCCCCCACAUUGGAACUGAGACACGGUCCAAACUCCUACGGGAGGCAGCAGUGAGGAAUAUUGGUCAAUGGACGAGAGUCUGAACCAGCCAAGUAGCGUGAAGGAUGACUGCCCUAUGGGUUGUAAACUUCUUUUAUAUGGGAAUAAAGUAUUCCACGUGUGGAAUUUUGUAUGUACCAUAUGAAUAAGGAUCGGCUAACUCCGUGCCAGCAGCCGCGGUAAUACGGAGGAUCCGAGCGUUAUCCGGAUUUAUUGGGUUUAAAGGGAGCGUAGGUGGAUUGUUAAGUCAGUUGUGAAAGUUUGCGGCUCAACCGUAAAAUUGCAGUUGAAACUGGCAGUCUUGAGUACAGUAGAGGUGGGCGGAAUUCGUGGUGUAGCGGUGAAAUGCUUAGAUAUCACGAAGAACUCCGAUUGCGAAGGCAGCUCACUGGACUGCAACUGACACUGAUGCUCGAAAGUGUGGGUAUCAAACAGGAUUAGAUACCCUGGUAGUCCACACAGUAAACGAUGAAUACUCGCUGUUUGCGAUAUACAGUAAGCGGCCAAGCGAAAGCAUUAAGUAUUCCACCUGGGGAGUACGCCGGCAACGGUGAAACUCAAAGGAAUUGACGGGGGCCCGCACAAGCGGAGGAACAUGUGGUUUAAUUCGAUGAUACGCGAGGAACCUUACCCGGGCUUAAAUUGCAUUUGAAUAAUCUGGAAACAGGUUAGCCGCAAGGCAAAUGUGAAGGUGCUGCAUGGUUGUCGUCAGCUCGUGCCGUGAGGUGUCGGCUUAAGUGCCAUAACGAGCGCAACCCUUAUCUUUAGUUACUAACAGGUCAUGCUGAGGACUCUAGAGAGACUGCCGUCGUAAGAUGUGAGGAAGGUGGGGAUGACGUCAAAUCAGCACGGCCCUUACGUCCGGGGCUACACACGUGUUACAAUGGGGGGUACAGAAGGCAGCUACCUGGUGACAGGAUGCUAAUCCCAAAAACCUCUCUCAGUUCGGAUCGAAGUCUGCAACCCGACUUCGUGAAGCUGGAUUCGCUAGUAAUCGCGCAUCAGCCAUGGCGCGGUGAAUACGUUCCCGGGCCUUGUACACACCGCCCGUCAAGCCAUGAAAGCCGGGGGUACCUGAAGUACGUAACCGCAAGGAGCGUCCUAGGGUAAAACUGGUAAUUGGGGCU
rnacentral:rRNA from 1 species